CGGAAGUCAGAAGUCGGAACUCAGAAGUCAGAAGUCGGAAGUCGGAAGUCAGAAGUCAGAAGUCGGAACUCGGAAGUCAGAAAUGGCCCUCCUCGGCCAUCGUAUAAAUGAUCAUCAAAAACAUUGAACUUUCUCGGUAGAAACAUUGAACUUUGUCAUGAGAAUAGACAAUACUUUACUGCGAUCGUUCAUCCUUAGUGCAUUCAGUAAAUGAGUCCGCCUUUUACAAAUCGCAGCCCGCGAUUGUAAAACACGGACUCAGUCCGCGUUUUACAAAUCUUAGUUCGCGAUUUGUAAAACACGGACUCAGUCCGUGUUUUCCCGGUCCAGUCCAGUCGAGUCCGUGUUUUACAAAUUCAGUCCGAGAUUUAUAAAACACGGACUCAGUCCGCAUUUUCCCGGUCCAGUCCAGUCCGGUCCAGUCCAGUCCAGUCCGUCUUUUACAACAUGCCUGACUAGAGGCAUCAUUGUAUUGUUGGUUAAUUCGAAAAUAAUACUAAUAACUAGAAAAUACAUGCCGGCAUGCAGAAACCCUCGCCUUGCUGACAAAACCAUUUUAUUUUCCGAACGUGAAGUAUUUUAAGUAGUUGUCAUGGUAACACGAUAAUUUUUAAGACUAUUUUUACAAAUGAAAAAUCCCCUAUAAAUAUCACUUUUAAUUACAAAAUUAUCAAUUUCCUAAACAUAUAUAUGUUAGGUAUGUUAUUAUACGUAAUAUAAGCUUGAAUUUAAGGUAAAAUUCGACCACAAACGCUUCGCAAAACGUUUUAAAAUGUUCUUUUACUAUAGAACUAAACUGCCUUUAUCGAUAAACUCAGUUGAGUUCGAAAUAAAAUGAUUCCAAAUUCUCCCAUGCAAAUAACUUUGCUUAGUAUAAUAAAAAGUGUAAUCAAUAAAGAAACACUGAAAUAAUACGCUGUCUUGUUUCAUAUUUAUACACAACGAUCGGCUUUUAAAGUAAUUACAGUAGGUAUGUUAUUAUACGUAAUAUAUAAAGCUUCAAUUUAAGGUAAAAUUCAACCACAAACGCUUCGCAAAACGUUUGAAAGUGUUCUUUUACUAUAUAGAACUAAACUGCCUUUAUCGAUAAACUCUGAGUUCGAAAUAAAAUGAUUCCAAAUUCUCCCAUGUAAAUAACUUUGCUUAGUAUAAUAAAAAGUG